rnacentral:sRNA from 1 species
GUAGCCUUGAGCUGGUUUUUAGUUUUUAGUAGACUUCUCAUCUAUGAAGCUCCCACGUCAUCUACAUUCGCGUUUAUCGUUUUGAAGCCAUAAAGGGAGUUCCGUUAUUUACAUAAUGCGCUAUUUCCAGAUCUCGUUCUCUUUCUUUUCCUUUUGUUUUAUUUGGAUCAACUCGAAUUAAAUAUAGAAUGUAUGCGCUGCGCAAAUGAAAUGUGGGUUCAGAAUCGCAGUCCAAGUUGAAACAUGACGGACGCCAAUAUUCCAAAAAAAUAAAAAUAAAAAUAAAAAUAAAAAAAAUUUCUAGCUAAUGAAAACCA